rnacentral:rRNA from 1 species
GACGAACGCUGGCGGCGUGCUUAACACAUGCAAGUCGAACGGAAAGGCCCUGCUUUUGUGGGGUGCUCGAGUGGCGAACGGGUGAGUAACACGUGAGUAACCUGCCCUUGACUUUGGGAUAACUUCAGGAAACUGGGGCUAAUACCGGAUAGGAGCUCCUGCUGCAUGGUGGGGGUUGGAAAGUUUCGGCGGUUGGGGAUGGACUCGCGGCUUAUCAGCUUGUUGGUGGGGUAGUGGCUUACCAAGGCUUUGACGGGUAGCCGGCCUGAGAGGGUGACCGGCCACAUUGGGACUGAGAUACGGCCCAGACUCCUCCGGGAGGCAGCAGUGGGGAAUAUUACACAAUGGGCGGAAGCCUGAUGCAGCAACGCCGCGUGCGGGAUGACGGCCUUCGGGUUGUAAACCGCUUUCGCCUGUGACGAAGCGUGAGUGACGGUAAUGGGUAAAGAAGCACCGGCUAACUACGUG